rnacentral:rRNA from 1 species
UCUAUAUGAGAGUUAUAUAAAGUCUGACCUGCCCAUUGGGAACUAAAAGGCCGCGGUAUUAUGACCGUGCGAAGGUAGCAUAAUCAUUAGUCUUUUAAUUGGGGGCUGGAAUGAAUGGUUGGACGAGAAGUAAGCUGUCUUUAUCUCAUGAAUUGAAUUUAACUUUUAAGUGAAAAGGCUUAAAUGAAUUAGAGGGACGAUAAGACCCUAUAAAGUUUUAUACAUGGAGUUAGUUAAGAGUAAUUUAGAGUAGUAAAGUUUAUUAUUAGCAAGAUGUUUGGUUGGGGCGACUGGAAUAUAAGUUAUAUAACUGUUUUUUAUUUAAGUCAGAAAUAUUUGUUUAUAAUGAUCCCUUUUUUGGAUUUAAGAGUAAAUUACUUUAGGGAUAACAGCGUAAUUUUUUUUGAGAGUUCUUAUCGACAAAAGAGUUUGCGACCUCGAUGUUGAAUUAAAAAUUUCUUUGUGGUGUAGUGGUUACAGAAGAAGGUCUGUUCGACCU